rnacentral:rRNA from 3 species
UGGAGAGUUUGAUCCUGGCUCAGAUUGAACGCUGGCGGCAGGCCUAACACAUGCAAGUCGAGCGGUAGCACAGGAGAGCUUGCUCUCYGGGUGACGAGCGGCGGACGGGUGAGUAAUGUCUGGGAAACUGCCUGAUGGAGGGGGAUAACUACUGGAAACGGUAGCUAAUACCGCAUAAYGUCUUCGGACCAAAGUGGGGGACCUUCGGGCCUCACGCCAUCAGAUGUGCCCAGAUGGGAUUAGCUAGUAGGUGGGGUAAUGGCUCACCUAGGCGACGAUCCCUAGCUGGUCUGAGAGGAUGACCAGCCACACUGGAACUGAGACACGGUCCAGACUCCUACGGGAGGCAGCAGUGGGGAAUAUUGCACAAUGGGCGCAAGCCUGAUGCAGCCAUGCCGCGUGUGUGAAGAAGGCCUUCGGGUUGUAAAGCACUUUCAGCGAGGAGGAAGGGUUCAGUGUUAAUAGCACUGUGCAUUGACGUUACUCGCAGAAGAAGCACCGGCUAACUCCGUGCCAGCAGCCGCGGUA